AGAAACAGCAUUCUUUGCAUUCAUUUCGUGCUGCCUUCUCGGUGCGCUUUGCGAGUGCUCUCGGUGCUUAUCUUCGACAAAAUGGCGAUGUUGGAAUGCUUUUUUUCAAGUAAGUACUUAAUCAUAUUUAAAAAAAUAAAGUCAGAUUUCAACAAUAAACUUGAUUUCCAGGAUUCGUGGUCGUGGCUACAAAGCGAAAGGGUUCAUGGAGGAUGCGUUGUCGAUAGCAAGUUCUCGGAAGUUCUCGGAAGAGCGAGUCAAAGGCAACCGAUUCCUAAAAGGAUAUAUUUAGAUGACAGAAUCAACAUAGGAUUAGGGAUCAAUGGUAGCCCCAACUACAAUUCAUCCGCCAGUUCUUCCUCCGGUGGUCAUGGAUUCUCCACCGCCAGCACCGAUGGACUUCGCGUCAAGGCUUUCCCAUCAAACCACUCGUCAGUUACUUCCAUUACUAUAAAUACCGCCACCCACUUCUAUUUACAAAGGUUUAAGCUGAAGUAAAAUCCACGUCGAAUGGGAAAAAAGUCCAUGCGGGAAAAAAGAUGCGCAAGGAGAAGCUAAACUCGGAGAUUGAACGUUUGCUGUCUGAGAUGGUCUCGGUUGCAAAUGUUUCCUCUUGUGAUGAAGAGUUUACUACGAUUGAAGUAUACUGCGAUCGAAAGCUGGCUCGUGUGUAGCACGGAAAAAAGUCCUGUUUGCCUAUAGUGUAGUGCUUGAGGACGAAUUAUCGUCAUCUGGCGCUGAAGCAAUCCAAUCACCUACCAAAAAUUUCCGCUUCCAAGAAAUAGCGUCGGAAAGCGUCGUAUCUUGAAAGCAAUUGCUAGGAAGCGGUAAAUGGAUCCUUUGAAUUUACCAGAACUUAACCUCGAAAAACAAGAUCAAGUAUAUCUGGAAGUUCGCCGCCACCUGAUCUAUUUCAACAGCUUUGCAUUAAUCCACCCCAAUACAAAAAAUAGAUUUACGUGCUGCUCCCCAAAUGACCCCCUUUCGUGCAAUGGUACCUUCGGGUACGCCUUCUGCUUUUCAUAAACCGGCGAAUAUGGAUCGUUGCUGCCGGAAAUUUGGUGCACCUCUUUUUAUAGACUGAGGGUAAGGAAAGCCUUCGCGAACGCACUUUUGUAAAUAAAACAAUCAAACUUUAAAAAUAAUAAUUUCACAAAAAUAAACGAACUAUUCUUCAUUUAAUUCAGUUUUGUUUGCAUCUAGCUGUGAUUCGGUGCAAAAGUGUGCUUGUGUUGGUUAAUAAUAUAUUUCGCGCCAAUACAUGCACUUUUUGCUCGUAUGACAGCUGGAUGUAAAUAAACCAGCAUGAAAUCCCACCCGAAAAUACCCUAACCACUGCCUAACCGCCUAAAGCGAAACA